rnacentral:rRNA from 1 species
UACAGAGGUCUCAAGCGUUUGUUCGGAUUCAUUGGGCGUAAAGGGUGCGUAGGCGGCGCGGUAAGUCGGGUGUGAAAUCUCGGGGGCUUAACUCCGAAACUGCAUUCGAUACUGCCGUGCUUGAGGACUGGAGAGGAGACUGGAAUUUACGGUGUAGCGGUGAAAUGCGUAGAUAUCGUAAGGAAGACCAGUGGCGAAGGCGGGUCUCUGGACAGUUCCUGACGCUGAGGCAACGAAGGCCAGGGGAGCAAACGGG